ensembl:ncRNA R153.8 ncRNA
UGAAACAUGAAUUAUUCAUCGGCCAGUUAAAUGAGUGAGGGUUCUACGACCGGAACGCGUGAGUCGCUUCGUGGCUCGCGGAGCAUUUCCUCCUUUCUUCAGCGUUUCGUCUAAUGGCCGCAGAGCCACCCCACUUCGCC